UAAUUUUCCUGCCAAAUCUCGACGUUGCCCCGCCGCCGCCCUCCACCAAUCGCCACCGACCUCUCUCCCCCCUCCAGUCACGCUUCCGUUCCUUCCACCCGUGGAGGACAACACUCGAUGAUUUCGGACUCACCGUUCUCUGGUGGUCUCCCAGCAGCUCGACGUCAGUCGGAAUGGAGGCGCUGGUAUCGAGGAGGAGGAUUUUGUUACUGAGGUUUUUUGAAGGAGAACCCUAGCUAUCUGGACGCCCCAAUUCUCGGUGCGCGAUUGGUUUGUUACGCUGAGGGAGAAGUAAAUUCCGGAGAAAGGUUCCAAUUCUAGGUUAUUUCAGCUUGGUAAAGACUGCUAGGGUAGUCCGCCAUUAUUAAGGAGGAGAGGGAGGGCGGUGGUGGGAAGAAAGGCGAGUCUGAGAAUCCAGUGCAUCUCAAAGCCCUUCUUAGGGAGUUCAAGGGUAAACUUCAUGCUCCUGAAGAGGUGUUCAAGGAUAAUUUGUUUGAAGAGGAAGAGUUCGAGAGGAACUCAGAGGAGCUUCCAUGGAUGAGCUUCAAGGAUUUUCAGAAACAGGAUUAUUCCAGAUGACAAACACAUACAAAAAUCAAAAUGGGUGAUUUGAUUAGAUCAAGAUGAAGCAUUGGUUCCAUUGGAGGAAUUCAGAGGACCAAGUUGAAUCAUGAGUUCAAAUCACACAGCCCAAUCUAAAAGAUGAUGGGUAGUUGAUAGAAUCAAGAACCGAAUAAGAAACCAAAUUUCAGUCCUACAUCAGCAAGUUAUAUGACUACCCCACAUUGUAGCAUCUCCAGUAUCAAGCAGAUUUUUGGUUGAACAUUGGAUGGUGACAGAAGUAAUGUCUGCUGCUGUUGCUGCUUCGGUGAUUGCAGGUUUCGCAGCAUCUGCUGCUUUUGCUGCAACCAGUUUUCUGUAUGCUGCUACUGCAUAUGUUGUCUGGCCUCUAUCUAGGAAGCUUGUGUUGGACUUGGGUAUAAUCUCCAGUAUUGCAGAACCAAUAUGGGAAAUGUCCUAAAUUUGUUCACUGAAGGAGGGUUUUUCUCCAGAAUAUAUGGAUUUUACACUUAUGGUGGUGUCUGCUAGCUUUCAAAUGCUAAAACCCACUAUGCUGGUUCUUAUCACAAUGGUUCUUCUUGUUCGGUUUACUCUUUCAAGAAGGUCAGAGAAUUACAGUCAAUGGGCGAUUACUUUCUCUCCCAGCAUCUUUUUGUACAAUUAUUUCACUAUCAUUUUGUUUUGGAUGCUUCAAUGGCAUUCCUUGGCUUGACUAACAUGCUUUGGACAGGAUUUAGGCAAGGGAUUGAAUUUGAAAACUCCAACCCACAGGCCUGAGUAAAUGUGAGUUCGUAUGGGUGGAUAUGCUUUGUUUCCCAUACACCAUUGCAAUAAACUCAGACAUGCAUCCACAAAAAUUACUGCCAUUCUUUCUUCCAUUGACAGGGUUCUACUGGAAUCAAAUUCCAUUAGAUAUCCAUUGACAGUGAUGUGGCAGGAUAGAUGAUGCGGUAGAAGAAUUGCAGGAGGUUAGUGUUUGUGCCAAUUGAUGCUAGGAAAAUGCCAAUUGUUUCUUAGAUAUUUGCUAUCUGCAUAAGCCUUGUGAAAUUUUAUAGCAUCUCAUAUGGAAGAAGAAACGUUGAUUAAAUUUAAUUGUCCUUCAUUUAGCGGAACUAUUUAGCAGACUAAAAUGUUGCCAUUAGUAUGUAGAUGUCUUUAAUAAUGUCUUUGCUUUCAACAAAUAUCUAUGAUAAUGUCGAAAGGUCCAUCACAAAGUCUAUGGACCACUCUGUGUAAAAUGUUUUUGUCAACUUCUGUGUAAAAAAUUUCAUGAAUUGCUCUGGUUUUCGACUAUAGAGUUUAAAUUGCUUCUUGAAUACGAAUUCAAUAGUACAGACUUUUUUUUUAAUGGAUCUCAAAUAGCCUGCAAUCUGUUGAUUCAGUUCAGUGGAACAAUUUUAUCCCCCUUUGUUUAUAUUUUGUUCAUCUAGAAUUUUUAUAUUUUGUUCCUCAAGGAUGACA